rnacentral:rRNA from 1 species
GAUGAACGCUGGCGGCGUGCCUAAUACAUGCAAGUCGAGCGAACAGACGAGGAGCUUGCUCCUCUGACGUUAGCGGCGGACGGGUGAGUAACACGUGGAUAACCUACCUAUAAGACUGGGAUAACUUCGGGAAACCGGAGCUAAUACCGGAUAAUAUAUUGAACCGCAUGGUUCAAUAGUGAAAGACGGUUUUGCUGUCACUUAUAGAUGGAUCCGCGCCGCAUUAGCUAGUUGGUAAGGUAACGGCUUACCAAGGCAACGAUGCGUAGCCGACCUGAGAGGGUGAUCGGCCACACUGGAACUGAGACACGGUCCAGACUCCUACGGGAGGCAGCAGUAGGGAAUCUUCCGCAAAGGGCGAAAGCCUGACGGAGCAACGCCGCGUGAGCGAUGAAGGUCUUCGGAUCGUAAAACUCUGUUAUUAGGGAAGAACAAAUGUGUAAGUAACUAUGCACGUCUUGACGGUACCUAAUCAGAAAGCCACGGCUAACUACGUG